rnacentral:tRNA from 1 species
AAACAUUAAAUAGAAAGUUCUAUGAUUAAUUUCGGUUUAAUAAGUUUAAAUGUUUU